rnacentral:rRNA from 1 species
UACGUAGGGGGCAAGCGUUGUCCGGAUUUAUUGGGCGUAAAGAGCGUGUAGGCGGCUUUACAGGUCCGUUGUGAAAACUCGAGGCUCAACUUCGAGACGCCGGUGGAAACCGUAAAGCUAGAGUCCGGAAGAGGAGAGUGGAAUUCCUGGUGUAGCGGUGAAAUGCGCAGAUAUCAGGAGGAACACCCGUGGCGAAAGCGGCUCACUGGACCGGUACUGACGCUGAUGCGCGAAAGCGUGGGGAGCAAACAGG